rnacentral:rRNA from 1 species
GAGAGCGGUGGGCACCAAUUUGACUCAACACGCAUGGGUUCGAUUCCGGAGAGCGGUGGGCACCAAUUUGACUCAACACGCAUGGGUUCGAUUCCGGAGAGCGGUGGGCACCAAUUUGACUCAACACGCAGGGUUCGAUUCCGGAGAGCGGUGGGAAUUUGACUCAACACGCAUGGGUUCGAUUCCGGAGAGCGGUGGGCACCAAUUUGACUCAACACGCAUGGGUUCGAUUCCGGAGAGCGGUGGGCACCAAUUUGACUCAACACGCAGGGUUCGAUUCCGGAGAGCGGUGGGCACCAAUUUGACUCNNNANGCANGGGUUCGAUUCCGGAGAGCGGCUUAAUUUGACUCAACACGCAA